ensembl:lncRNA
UUUUUUUUUUUUUUUUUUUUUGUCCCGGGCCUUGCAAUCACCACUUAAAGCUUGAACUGGCAUUUUACACAAUCUGCCAAGCAAAUCAGAACUCUUAAAAUACAACGAUCAUCUACCAAAUCACGAAGGAAUGAGUGAUCGUUUUAAAUUUGGGGGGAGGGGGGUAUCACCGGGUUAAAUUGUUUGCUUCGGUUGCUCAUCAUCUCAUCUUUUUCAUCACAGUGAUGAGUUUGUGCUCAAAGUAAAACAAUGACAAAGUGUCCCUGCAGUGGGUAUGUUUAGGGCCCACAGUCAGUAAAUGAUUCCACACACAUGCAUAUUCAGUCUUAUUUCUCUCAGUCACUUUCUCUCCCCGCCUGCCCCGUCUUUUCUCUCUUCCUUCAUCAUGCAGUCGGACCCUGUGGGCACAGUGUGGGAGAUAGUGCGGUAAGCUCUCCUCUCCUCUCUCUAAUCUCAUUUCCCACUGCCUGGAUUAAACAAAUGUCUGUCAUUACCGCUCACUGGUGGAGAGGAGGAGGUUUUAGGGUCCACAGGAGCGACAGAGAGAAAGGAAGGGGGGGAGUGACAGAACGGCAAAGAGCGAAAGACAGAGAAACGGAAAAUAAAAUAACUGGAAGAAAAAAGCGGGAGCAGGUACUAAAGAGACCAUUAAAUGAGGGACCCAGGGAGAUAGCGAGAAAUUGAGACAAAAUAAGAGCGAGUGAUGGAGCGAGAGAGAGAUAUUUUCAGAGUGGGCUUCUCUUACUUUCGACAAACCACUAAAACUGCCCACAGAUGGGCUGCAGCCAUAACAGGGCCAAAUGGUGCUGAAUGAAAAAGAGAAAAAGAGACCGAAAUGAAAAAGAGAAGGAGAGGAGGUGGUGACAGUAAGACACAGAGUGAAACGACAGCCUCCCCCCUGCCGCUAAGAAAAAUUGACAGCGUGUGGUAACACUGCAUCAGAAGACCCAGUGGCAAGCCAUCCACCAUCAUCAACCAAUCCGAUGUCUUUUUCAUUGAAAAGACAGCAAGUCUCCCACUAUCAGCACAUAAAGAGCAGUUAUACACUCAAGGUGCAGCCAAAGCCCAAAGGGGGUCCGUUGCACUACGUUUAUAGUUAGUCUUGAGGUUCAUUUCGACAUUACCGUCCCCUUUUCACCUGCGGUCUGUUUACAGCCCGCUGGCGGAAAGACAUUGUCAAUCCCGAUAGAGUUUGUAUUCCAUAUUUCAAAACAGACAUUCAGAUCCACAAGGGCCCAUUGAGGCUGAAAUGGUGUGAAUCCAUUUCACCGCAGGGAGGGGGCAGACGCCAUAACGUGGUUACUUUCAUUCUCCACAUCUCCAUCUGGUUUAUUACACCGCACCUGACUAGCUGGAGGUCUCGGUUGAUGGACCUUUAAGUAUUUAGGACUACGAGAGCAGAAAUAAUUUCUCUCAGAGGGAGCACUCGCUCCAGGUCAGGGAAAGGUACAG